UACGUAGGGUGCGAGCGUUAAUCGGAAUUACAGGGCGUAAAGCGUGCGCAGGCGGCGCGUUAAGACAGGUGUGAAAGCCCCGAGCUUAACUUGGGAAUUGCGCUUGUGACUGGCGAGCUGGAGUGUGGCAGAGGGAGGUGGAAUUCCACGUGUAGCAGUGAAAUGCGUAGAGAUGUGGAGGAACACCGAUGGCGAAGGCAGCCUCCUGGGCCAGCACUGACGCUGAGGCGCGAAAGCUAGGGGAGCAAACAGG
rnacentral:rRNA from 1 species